rnacentral:rRNA from 1 species
CGCGUAGGCGGCGGGGCAAGUCGGGUGUGAAAUCUCAGAGCUCAACUCUGAAACUGCACUCGAUGCUGCUUUGCUUGAGGACUGGAGAGGAGAUUGGAAUUCACGGUGUAGCAGUGAAAUGCGUAGAUAUCGUGAGGAAGACCAGUGGCGAAGGCGGAUCUCUGGACAGUUCCUGCGCUGAGCGCGAAGGCCAGGGGAGCAAACG